UAAUUAGUGCGGGACAACAUCUCGAAAGGGAUGCUAAUACCGCAUACGUCCUACGGGAGAAAGCAGGGGAUCUUCGAUUCGCUUGCGCGAUUAGAUGAGCCUAAGUCGGAUUAGCUAGUUGGUGGGGUAAAGGCCUACCAAGGCGACGAUCUGUAGCGGGUCUGAGAGGAUGAUCCGCCACACUGGGACUGAGACACGGCCCAGACUCCUACGGGAGGCAGCAGUGGGGAAUAUUGGACAAUGGGGGGAACCCUGAUCCAGCCAUGCCGCGUGUGUGAAGAAGGCCUUAUGGUUGUAAAGCACUUUAAGCGAGGAGGAGGCUACUUUAGUUAAUACCUAGAGAUAGUGGACGUUACUCGCAGAAUAAGCACCGGCUAACUCUGUGCCAGCAGCCGCGGUAAUACAGAGGGUGCGAGCGUUAAUCGGAUUUACUGGGCGUAAAGCGUGCGUAGGCGGCUUAUUAAGUCGGAUGUGAAAUCCCCGAGCUUAACUUGGGAAUUGCAUUCGAUACUGGUGAGCUAGAGUAUGGGAGAGGAUGGUAGAAUUCCAGGUGUAGCGGUGAAAUGCGUAGAGAUCUGGAGGAAUACCGAUGGCGAAGGCAGCCAUCUGGCCUAAUACUGACGCUGAGGUACGAAAGCAUGGGGAGCAAACAGGAUUAGAUACCCUGGUAGUCCAUGCCGUAAACGAUGUCUACUAGCCGUUGGGGCCUUUGAGGCUUUAGUGGCGCAGCUAACGCGAUAAGUAGACCGCCUGGGGAGUACGGUCGCAAGACUAAAACUCAAAUGAAUUGACGGGGGCCCGCACAAGCGGUGGAGCAUGUGGUUUAAUUCGAUGCAACGCGAAGAACCUUACCUGGCCUUGACAUACUAGAAACUUUCCAGAGAUGGAUUGGUGCCUUCGGGAAUCUAGAUACAGGUGCUGCAUGGCUGUCGUCAGCUCGUGUCGUGAGAUGUUGGGUUAACCGCCGCAACGAGCGCAACCCUUUUCCUUACUUGCCAGCAUUUCGGAUGGGAACUUUAAGGAUACUGCCAGUGACAAACUGGAGGAAGGCCACUAGACGACGUCAAGUCAUCAUGGCCCUUACGGCCAGGGCUACACACGUGCUACAAUGGUCGGUACAAAGGGUUGCUACACAGCGAUGUGAUGCUAAUCUCAAAAAGCCGAUCGUAGUCCGGAUUCCUACAGGA
rnacentral:rRNA from 1 species